rnacentral:rRNA from 1 species
AUGGCCUCCGCGACGCAGCAGCACCGGCGCCGCCGCGCCAUCCUCCAGCUGGCCGCCCUGCUGGUCCUUGUCUCGCAGGCAGCGGCCGCGGGCGGCGCCUGCAAGAGCGAGAAGUUCCCGGCUGGCAAGAGCUACGAGACGUGCGCGGACCUCCCGGCCCUCGGCGCCGCGCUGCACUGGACCUACGACGCGGCGGCCUCGUCGCUCUCCGUGGCGUUCGCGGCCAAGCCGGCGAGCGGUGCCGGCUGGGUGUCGUGGGGGAUCAACCCCACCGGCGACGGCAUGAAGGGCGCGCAGGCGCUCCUCGCCUUCAAGAGCGGCGCCACGUACGUCGUCAACACGUACAACCUCACCGGGUACAAGCCGCUCAGCCCGGCGUCCACGCCGAUAGCGUUCAAGGCCACCGGGCUCGCCGCCGACGAGGGCGCCGGCGGGAAGGUGCGGCUCUACGGCACGCUGCAGCUGCCCAAGGGCAUGGAGUCCGUGAACCACAUCUGGCAGGUGGGGUCCGCGGUGGCCAACGGGGUGCCGGCCAAGCACGCGUUCGGGCAGGAGAACCUGGAUGCCAAGGGCAAGCUCGUGCUCGCCGGUGCCGGCGCGCCGGAGGCCGCCCCGGCUCCUGCUGCCGGUGACUCGUCCGCUGAGUCUGGUAGCGUGGAGGCAGAGUCGCCGUCGUUGCCCACGCCGUCAGGCGGGAAGAAGUCGCCACCAGCGGGAGCGGCGUCCACCACCCACGCCUCGGCUCCGGUGCUGAUCGUGCUUCUGGCAUUGGUGGGUUUCUUGGCGAUUGUGUGA